GCCAGAGGCAAGACAUCUUGCGGUAUCAUUGAUCUAUAAAAUUUAUAACCUAGCAAUACCAAUCCAGAUUUUUAAUCCAAGUGAAAAAAUCAAACUCGUUCACACAAUUUGUCAAACAGUUGUUGGACCACGAAAAGGCUCACGACGUGAGAUCAAGUAAAGCCAAGCCAAGCCUCGGCCUGGCCAUUGCAUGGAGGAAUGGUUAUCACAAAAAGAGUUCAGAGAACGAGACAAGAAGAAAAAAUGGCAUAUCUUGCAAGCGGAAAUCAGAUCCGGGGCGAGUGGCCUCGACUUCGGUGGAUUCGUCUUGUUCUCAGGCCUAACGAGAAACGAUCUACACUGGGCCCCAAGUUUUAGGGUCGUGGGCUGGAAUCCUGGAUAUUAAGCCGUCGAGAGCGAGCAACCACCGCGGAUCAGCAGAUGGGAUU
rnacentral:lncRNA from 1 species